GUCCGGUUCGAGAUGCUCUAAAUUCCCAACAAAACCCCCAGAGGACUUCUUCAACCCCUUAAACCUAUCCCCAAUGUCUCCCUUCAGAACCCUCCUCCUCCUUAAACCCCAAAACCCUCUUUUCAUUUCCCAAACAACCCACAAACCCCUCUCACUCUUCUCCAUCGCCCGCAGAUUCUUCACCUCCUCACACCAAUCUGAGAACCAAACCAAACCCAGAAAGCCUCUGGACCUACUCUUCAAGAGGCCGUCGAACUCUCCCCAAAACCCGAAAACUCUGACAGCGAAGCCGAAGACAACCCAUUGAAGAAGAGCUUGAGGGAUUUGGAGAAGGAGGUCAGGAGCUUGAAAGCCAAUUCGAAUGGCUGAAACUAAAGCAAAGAAGAGAGAACCCAAUUCUGAGGGUAAGGCCAGUUUAUACUCGGUGUUCACGAAUAAGGCGGCGGCUGCGGCGGACGGCAGCGGUAGGAAGCGGAAAGAGUUGACAAAAGAGAGGUCGAAUAUGUUGAAAGAUUUGUCGCAGGAUAUGGAAGUGGUGGUGAGCCAUUUGUACAAAGAAGGGUACUUUAAAGAUGCCAAUUUCUUGUUUGUAAAUGGUGAUAGGUUGGAUUUUAGCUGCUUUAACAACAGUUAUGGCCGUAGUUUCCUAAGGUUUGCAGUCGAAAGUUUUGCCAGAGACAACCAACCGAUUGCAAAAUGGUUGUCUGGCUCAGACUUGAAAAAGGUGGCCCUCAUCGGUUGCCCUUCCCUUGCAAGAAAGAGCGUUUUUGGGGCUAAAAGAAUGCGUAAAUUUUUUGAAAUUCCAGAAGACAAGGUUUGCAGUAAAUGUGUCUUGAAACAGUCGUGCAAGUUUGCAAAUCAGAAUGUGUGGAACGGAGGUGCCAAGAAUCUGGAUCUUAGAGAUGUAAUGAAUACUAUCACAUUAUAUGCUCUGGAUGCUGUGCCUCCAGAGCUGGUUGUGCCUGGACGAAGUAAAGUCUUCUGUUAGUCGACUGCUAAAGGAGGUUUUGAAGCUAAGUGAAGCUACUUUGGGAGGCUAAUUUCAGAUCUGCAGAACAUGUUCCAGGUAAUCUGAGACUCAUUGUCUUUGGUAAUUGCUUCCUUCUGGUGCCAUUUCGAUUACUUAUGUUCUGAACCCUUUUCUUUUUAUAUAGCGAGGAUUCAGGUGCAACAUUCUGUUUAAAGCGUAAUUUAGCUUCCCUGUAUGAAUUUGAAAGUGUUUUAGAUGUACCGUAAAUGCUUAACUCAUUCUUAACUCCGUUAACCUAUUCCGUGUAUAAAGAGUUACAUCCUUUUCGUU